rnacentral:rRNA from 1 species
UGAGGAAUAUUGGUCAAUGGGCGAAAGCCUGAACCAGCCAUGCCGCGUGCAGGAAGACGGCUCUAUGAGUUGUAAACUGCUUUUAUACGGGAAUAAUUGUAGGUACGUGUACUUAUUUGAAUGUACCGUAAGAAUAAGCACCGGCUAACUCCGUGCCAGCAGCCGCGGUAAUACGGAGGGUGCAAGCGUUAUCCGGAUUUAUUGGGUUUAAAGGGUGCGUAGGCGGAAUAGUAAGUCAGUGGUGAAAUCUUGCAGCUUAACUGUAAAACUGCCAUUGAUACUGCUGUUCUUGAGUAUAGUUGAGGUAGGCGGAAUGUGUAAUGUAGCGGUGAAAUGCUUAGAUAUUACACAGAACACCGAUUGCGUAGGCAGCUUACUAAGCUAUAACUGACGCUGAGGCACGAAAGCGUGGGGAGCGAACA